CCACCUGCAAGCUAACCAGCAUUAAACUGCAAGGAAAGUGAGAGAGACUUUGAAUGAGAUAAGAUAAAAUAUAGUCCCUGCAAGCAACUUCACCGGAUGCUAAAGCUAAGAAAUUAGAGGACAAACUAUCAUCUUUCUCAUCAUGGAAAAACACCAUCUCUUCAUGCUGACCUGCCAACAUAUCCAAACAACAGUAUGGGAAAUUCUGCAUUGUAACUUCUUGACCUACCACAACUACCAGCACUUGUUAAUCCAUCACCUUUUAUGAUCCCAGAGGACAUUUACAGCCUUCUCCUGGGAAACAAA
rnacentral:lncRNA from 1 species